rnacentral:rRNA from 1 species
CGUAGGGUGCGAGCGUUAAUCGGAAUUACUGGGCGUAAAGCGUGCGCAGGCGGUUUUGUAAGACAGAUGUGAAAUCCCCGGGCUCAACCUGGGACCUGCAUUUGUGACUGCAAGGCUAGAGUACGGUAGAGGGGGAUGGAAUUCCGCGUGUAGCAGUGAAAUGCGUAGAUAUGCGGAGGAACACCGAUGGCGAAGGCAAUCCCCUGGACCUGUACUGACGCUCAUGCACGAAAGCGUGGGGAGCAAACAGGAUUAGAUACCCUGGUAGUCCACGCCCUAAACGAUGUCAACUGGUUGUUGGGUCCUUACUGACUCAGUAACGAAGCUAACGCGUGAAGUUGACCGCCUGGGGAGUACGGCCGCAAGGUUG